GAUUAGAGUUUGAUCCUGGCUCAGAUUGAACGCUGGCGGCAUGCUUUACACAUGCAAGUCGAACGGUAACAGGGAGCUUGCUCCGCUGACGAGUGGCGAACGGGUGAGUAACGCAUCGGAACGUACCCAAUCGUGGGGGAUAACGUAGCGAAAGUUACGCUAAUACCGCAUACGUCCUGAGGGAGAAAGCGGGGGACCGGAAGGCCUCGCGCGAUUGGAGCGGCCGAUGUCGGAUUAGCUAGUUGGUAGGGUAAAGGCCUACCAAGGCGACGAUCCGUAGCGGGUCUGAGAGGAUGAUCCGCCACACUGGGACUGAGACACGGCCCAGACUCCUACGGGAGGCAGCAGUGGGGAAUUUUGGACAAUGGGCGCAAGCCUGAUGGAGCAACGCCGCGUGCAGGAUGAAGGCCUUCGGGUCGUAAACUGCUUUUAUGGGUGAAUAAUAUGAAUGAACCCUAAUAGCC
rnacentral:rRNA from 1 species